AAAUGAGCGUGCUCGAUGGAUCAGUGCUCUGGGCCAGAGUGUCAACAACAAGAAGAGUCAGGACAGAAUCAAUGCCAUGCAGAUGGAGGUGAUCAGAACUUACACAGCCAAGCAACCAGAUGAAUUGUCCCUGCAGGUGGCUGAUGUGGUGCUGGUCUCGCAGACUGUAGAAGAUGGCUGGUGUGAAGGUGAGCGACUGCGUGAUGGAGAAAGAGGGUGGUUCCUCGCAGAGUGUGCCGAACCAAUCACAUGUCAGGCC